rnacentral:rRNA from 1 species
CCUACGGGAGGCAGCAGUGGGGAAUUUUGGACAAUGGGCGCAAGCCUGAUCCAGCAAUGCCGCGUGCAGGAUGAAGGCCUUCGGGUUGUAAACUGCUUUUGUACGGAACGAAACGGUGAGCUCUAAUACAGUUUGCUAAUGACGGUACCGUAAGAAUAAGCACCGGCUAACUACGUGCCAGCAGCCGCGGUAAUACGUAGGGUGCGAGCGUUAAUCGGAAUUACUGGGCGUAAAGCGUGCGCAGGCGGUGAUGUAAGACAGAUGUGAAAUCCCCGGGCUCAACCUGGGACCUGCAUUUGUGACUGCAUCGCUAGAGUACGGUAGAGGGGGAUGGAAUUCCGCGUGUAGCAGUGAAAUGCGUAGAUAUGCGGAGGAACACCGAUGGCGAAGGCAAUCCCCUGGACCUGUACUGACGCUCAUGCACGAAAGCGUGGGGAGCAAACAGGAUUAGAUACCCUGGUAGUCCACGCCCUAAACGAUGUCAACUGGUUGUUGGGUCUUCACUGACUCAGUAACGAAGCUAACGCGUGAAGUUGACCGCCUGGGGAGUCGGCCGCAAGGUUGAAACUCAAAGGAUUGACGGCUGAGACGNGCGAGGCGACGACGAGGGAGGAGG